GACGAACGCUGGCGGCGUGCUUAACACAUGCAAGUCGAACGAUGAAGCCCUAGCUUGCUGGGGUGGAAGAGUGGCGAACGGGUGAGGAACACGUGAGUAACCUGCCCUUAACUCUGGGAUAAGCACUGGAAACGGUGUCUAAUACUGGAUAUGACCUCUGGAGGCAUCUUUGGGGGUGGAAAGAUUUAUCGGUUUUGGAUGGACUCGCGGCCUAUCAGCUUGUUGGUGAGGUAAUGGCUCACCAAGGCGACGACGGGUAGCCGGCCUGAGAGGGUGACCGGCCACACUGGGACUGAGACACGGCCCAGACUCCUACGGGAGGCAGCAGUGGGGAAUAUUGCACAAUGGGCGCAAGCCUGAUGCAGCAACGCCGCGUGAGGGAUGACGGCCUUCGGGUUGUAAACCUCUUUUAGUGAGGAAGAAGCGAAAGUGACGGUACUCACAGAAAAAGCACCGGCUAACUACGUGCCAGCCGCCGCCGUAA
rnacentral:rRNA from 1 species